rnacentral:rRNA from 1 species
UGGUGCCAGCAGCCGCGGUAAUUCCAGCUCCAAUAGCGUAUAUUAAAGUUGUUGCAGUUAAAAAGCUCGUAGUUGAAUUUCGGGAUCGACGGGUCGGUCGCGCCUCUGGUGUGUACUGGCCCUGUCGGUUUCUCCCUUCUGACGAACCACGAUGUCAUUAAUUUGGUGUCGUGGGAAAUCAGGACUGUUACUUUGAAAAAAUUAGAGUGUUUAAAGCAGGCAUUCGCUUGAAUACAUUAGCAUGGAAUAAUGAAAUAGGACGUUUGAUCUUAUUUUGUUGGUUUCUAAGAUCGACGUAAUGAUUAAUAGGGAUAGUUGGGGGCAUUAGUAUUCAAUUGUCAGAGGUGAAAUUCUUGGAUUUAUUGAAGACUAACUACUACGAAAGCAUUUGCCAAGGAUGUUUUCAUUAAUCAAGAACGAAAGUUAGGGGAUCGAAGACGAUCAGAUACCGUCGUAGUCUUAACCAUAAACUAUGCCGACUAGGGA